GAUGAACGCUGGCGGCGUGCCUAAUACAUGCAAGUCGAACGAAACUUCUUUAUCACCGAGUGCUUGCACUCACCGAUAAAGAGUUGAGUGGCGAACGGGUGAGUAACACGUGGGCAACCUGCCCAAAAGAGGGGGAUAACACUUGGAAACAGGUGCUAAUACCGCAUAACCAUAGUUACCGCAUGGUAACUAUGUAAAAGGUGGCUAUACUACCGCUUUUGGAUGGGCCCGCGGCGCAUUAGCUAGUUGGUAGGGUAAAGGCUUACCAAGGCAAUGAUGCGUAGCCGAAGUGAGAGGUUGAUCGGCCACAUUGGGACUGAGACACGGCCCAAACUCCUACGGGAGGCAGCAGUAGGGAAUCUUCCGCAAUGGGCGAAAGCCUGAUGGAGCAACGCCGCGUGGGUGAAGAAGGUCUUCGGAUCGUAAAACCCUGUUGUUAGAGAAGAAAGUGCGUGAGAGUAACUGUUCACGUUUCGACGGUAUCUAACCAGAAAGCCACGGCUAACUACGUG
rnacentral:rRNA from 1 species